rnacentral:rRNA from 1 species
CCUACGGGAGGCAGCAGUGAGGAAUAUUGGUCAAUGGACGAGAGUCUGAACCAGCCAAGUAGCGUGAAGGAUGACUGCCCUAUGGGUUGUAAACUUCUUUUAUAUGGGAAUAAAACGUUCCACGUGUGGGAUUUUGUAUGUACCAUAUGAAUAAGGAUCGGCUAACUCCGUGCCAGCAGCCGCGGUAAUACGGAGGAUCCGAGCGUUAUCCGGAUUUAUUGGGUUUAAAGGGAGCGUAGGUGGAUUGUUAAGUCAGUUGUGAAAGUUUGCGGCUCAACCGUAAAAUUGCAGUUGAAACUGGCAGUCUUGAGUACAGUAGAGGUGGGCGGAAUGCGUGGUGUAGCGGUGAAAUGCUUAGAUAUCACGAAGAACUCCGAUUGCGAAGGCAGUUCACUGGACUGCAACUGACACUGAGGCUCGAAAGUGUGGGUAUCAAACAGGAUUAGAUACCUGGGUAGUC